UACGUAGGGGGCAAGCGUUGUCCGGAAUCACUGGGCGUAAAGCGCGUGUAGGCGGCUCGAUAAGUCCGCUCUGAAAGUCCAGGGCUCAACCCUGGGAUGCGGGUGGAUACUGUCGGGCUCGAGUCCGGAAGAGGCGAGUGGAAUUCCUGGUGUAGUGGUGAAAUGCGUAGAUAUCAGGAGGAACACCGGCGGUGUAGACGGCUUUCUGGACCGUAGCUGACGCUGAGACGCGAAAGCGUGGGUAGCAAACAGG
rnacentral:rRNA from 1 species